rnacentral:rRNA from 1 species
GACGAGGGGUCCAAGCGUUGUUCGGAAUCAUUGGGCGUAAAGCGGGUGUAGGUGGCUCUAUAAGUCAGAAGUGAAAGCCCCGGGCUUAACCCGGGAAGUGCUUUUGAUACUGCAGAGCUUGAAUCCGGGAGAGGGAUGCGGAAUUCCAGGUGUAGCGGUGAAAUGCGUAGAUAUCUGGAGGAACACCGGUGGCGAAGGCGGCAUCCUGGACCGGCAUUGACGCUGAGGCGCGAAAGCCAGGGGAGCAAACGGG